rnacentral:tRNA from 1 species
GCGGACGUGGCGGAACUGGCAGACGCGCUAGACUUAGGAUCUAGUACCUCUGGUGUGUGGGUUCGACUCCCACCGUCCGCACCA